UACGGGAGGCAGCAGUGGGGAAUAUUGCACAAUGGGCGAAAGCCUGAUGCAGCUAUGCCGCGUGUAUGAAGAAGGCCUUAGGGUUGUAAAGUACUUUCAUCGGGGAGGAAAAAACAAAACUAAUAAUUUUAUUUCUUGACGUUACCCGAAAAAGAAGCACCGGCUAACUCCGUGCCAGCAGCCGCGGUAAUACGGAGGGUGCUAGCGUUAAUCAGAAUUACUGGGCGUAAAGAGCACGUAGGUGGUUUUUUUAAGUCAGAUGUGAAAUCCCUGGGCUUAACCUGGAACUGCAUUUUGAAACUGAAAUACUAGAGUAUCGUAGAGGGAGGUAGAAUUCUAGGUGUAGCGGUGAAAUGCGUAGAUAUCUGGAGGAAUACCUGUGGCGAAAGCGGCCUCCUAAACGAAUACUGACGCUGAGGUGCGAAAGCGUGGGGAGCAAACAGGGAUUUAGAUACC
rnacentral:rRNA from 1 species